rnacentral:misc_RNA from 1 species
UUUGACAUAAGUAACAGACAGCACCUACAGCCAGAAAUAAACUACCAGUAUUAAGAUGAAAUAGAUGUUCAUGUUCCAACAUAAACAGCUGGAAGAUGUCAAAAGUAAGAAACAUGAGCACGAGGAUUUCCUCCAUAACUUAUCAAAGUGACAAAUAUAGUCUCUGAUGAAUUUAGGAUUAACAUUCUCAGUGACUCUGGUUACACAUUUCUGAGGACUUAACCCAAAAUCGUUUA